rnacentral:misc_RNA from 1 species
GCCAAAUUUAACGAUGUCCCGAUCGCUGGUGCAGCCGAUCGGGCAGAAGAGGCUGACCAACGUUGCGGUGGUUCGUUUGAAGAAACACGGUCUUCGUUUCGAGAUUGCCUGUUACAAGAACAAGGUCCUUUCUUGGCGCUCUGGCGUGGAAAAGGAUUUGGAUGAGGUCUUGCAAUCACAAAUUGUUUAUUCGAAUGUUUCGAAAGGAGUUCUUGCAAAAACAAAAGAUUUAAAAGUAGCUUUUGGUACAGAUGAUCAGAUGGAAAUUUGUUUGAAGAUUCUUAAAGAAGGGGAACUUCAAAUUGCAGGGAAGGAGAGGGAGGCUCAAUUAUCUAAUCAGUUUCGUGAUAUCGCAACCAUUGUUAUGCAGAAGACCUUCAAUCCUGAAACUAAACGCCCUUACACCAUUAGCAUGAUUGAGCGACUCCUGCGUGAAAUUCAU